GGAAUAUAACCCUUCUCUUAACUUUUAACUAAAAAAACUAAGAACCGACUCUUAAAUAUCUUAUUUAAGAGCCGGUUCUUAGCUUUUUUUAGUUAAAAGUUAAGAUAUGAGUUCUUAUAUUCC
rfam:Brassica napus, WGS project CCCW01000000 data, contig: 9188